UUGGGGCUGGGGUUCUGGCAUUUGGUGCGUGGAGAAUUGGCUAGGGACAAAUUGGUGAUAGGGGUUACUCCUCCGGAUUCAAAAUGGGAUAUUAUAUCUGCGAAACUCGAUGAGCCGCUGGGCGCGGCAUGUUCGACAUUAUCGCUAUCGGUGGUGUCUAUGAGUGUCUGGCUAUAUUCAGGUGUUGUGGCAUUGUCCGGUUCGUCAGUAUAUGGUUCGGAACUGCGGAUGCGGGCGGCAGCGAUUUCUUCCUCGUCUCUGUGGUAUGACUCCGGCGGAGCUAGGAGGACGCGAUAGCCCCAGCUCCAUCGAAGCAGCUGGCCCAGUUGCUGGAAGAUCAGGAGAUAGAGGAUGCCCCUGGCUGCAACCUCCUGGCUGUUGUCGUUUGGUAUGCGAUCCCAGCGCAGGCCUUCUAGAGUGUGGGCCAGCGACAACACGAGCGAGAUGGGUAGCGAAUUGGAGUUCCCAAAGACCUGUAAUUUGGUUAGCCAAAUGUAUAUGUAGAGAAGAGGGAAAGAGAGAGAGAGAGAGAGGCUCAGGGGCGGGGAGACACAUACGCCCAUGGCGACCACAAAGUUGGACUGGGGCUUGUUGAAGCGGAACAGCCGAGAGACCACGGAGGCACACAGAUAGGAGACCGCAGUCUGGACCGCGAAGAUGCAAGGGAUGAUGGCCAGGUCUGUCAGUUUUCCCGCGGUUAAUUGGGAGGCGAGUUUUGUGAAGACUGGUAGAAUGUCAGUCGCAGUAUAUAUAUAUAUAUCUAAUAUGGGUACGUAGUUAAAAAAAAACAAAAACAAAACAAAACACACACCGAGACAUGGGGUAAACAGUGCGACAUUGAGAUUGGCGACGAAUUUCUGGGCCUCCGCAUCAAACCUGCCCAUACGGGCUAGGAUAUAGCCGGGGAGACUGACGCAGACGAUCUCGAGGACUGCGGACAGGACCAGGAUGACAAGCCGCGGCAGCGGAGGUUGAGCAGCCUGCGGAGAAGCAGCGGUGUUGAGCAAGAGGGAAGAGUGAGAAAGCCAGCCAGCGGCGGCGGCGGCCAGGUGUUGCUGGGCUACAUGCUGGUUGAGGGCGGAGAUGGAGGAGAUGGAGG
rnacentral:sRNA from 1 species